GUCUUGAGGUAGAAUUGGCUAUGGUGAUGGUUUCUGAUCAGCAAAGCCCCGGGAACUCCAUGGGACUCAUCCCAAUCCAAGGAAAUGGUGAAACUAGUUUCUCCGGCCGACAACGAUGUAAUGGUUGUAGCCCAUUUCUCCAAGUUCCAAUUAAAAGUAAAACCAUGAGUUCCAAAACUUGAACAAAAGAAUUUUAGUAAACUAGAAAACAUCUUCACAACUAUAAGUUUUAUACAAAAGCACGUCAAGAGAUCAACUGGGGAGGAAAACCUUUCAUUCGUAAUUUAUCUACUUGUCAUGCAAGGAAUGAUUCGCGGUUGUGAAAUUCUUUUGUUGUCCUCCCCAAUUACCAAGAUGAGUGGCACUAAUGAGCUGCAUGGAAACACCUUUGCCCAAGAACUCAUGGAUUCUAUCAACGAACGAAGCUUUGAGGUCGUUGAAGUCCAACACAUUCUUCUUCAUCAACACAACCUUUCCUCUGAUUCUGUU